GCACACUUAAAACCACUAUCUCCUUAAUUUCAGACAAUUCUAAGACAUCACACUGAGCUUGGAUGAGCCUAGUUGAACAAUUGAUGAUGAAAAAUCCUCUAUAGGGUAGAAGACUUAACCGGAAACACGUGGGCGAUUCUCCUUGAGGAUGCAGUGCCAUGAGUCACCUUCAAAGGAAGGGACCAAAAUGGGCACAAUAUGCCGUGUUUCUAAGGACGAUGUAAGUGUACAUCUUGAUUGUAAAUCAAUAUGAACCAUAAGAGGAGAAUAGUUUCACUUCGAAAAAAUUCUCAAGGCAUUCAUUAUUGCUAAUGUGAGUACAUCGAGGUCUCAAAUAGACAAAGGACGUCGAUACAACGCCUUAGUACAUAUAACUUGGAAUGAAAAUCAAUGUCUAGCCGAUGACAUCAAAGUCAUGGGUAGCUAGAGCAGGAUCCGAAUCUUUGAAAUUCGCGAUCAUGAGGAUGACGUUCUUGUCCUCAUAUUGAUUUUCCAUACCUUUUUGUAUGCAUUCACAAUUUAAAGGAGCUUGACAAUCUUGAACCAGUGAUCCGAAGAUCCACAACUGUUGCAUUAAUGUCAUGAGCUGACGUGAGUAGUUUUGACAAAAUGGUGUCUAGACCGGGAGUGUCGCUAUUUGAGCCGGCAACACCUCCCCCUCUUUUCUAGACAUCGGCACGACGUUUUCUGCCGUUGCCAUGACCCAUAUUGUUGUUUCCACAUUAGGGGAUAAUCCCAAAUAAGUUUAUCACAUUAGCGUAUAUACAAUUCAUGUUUGUAUGAUCAAAAUCAAGUCUCGUUGGUAAUUCCACACCAACUUAGAAGACCUAGAGAACUUGAUGAUGAUCGAAUCCGCUAAAGAUUAUGGAUCAUGAUGCCACAAAAGAUUAUCGACAAUAUGUAGUCAAUUAAAGUGGUAAGCAAUCCACUUGACUAAUAACUCAACAAGUAGAGUUAUAUGGACGUUUCAAGAAACGCUCCAUGAGUACAUUCCACAGUACUUUGUGGUCAUUACUUUUUGCACAGAUUGCCAUUGAAUGCUUGUCGAUGUGGCGCGUCAAAAACUUUGAGCGCAGGAGAUGUGAAAUCUCGGCAUCUAGGCUUGUUAGCCUAGGGGUCAAAACAUGUGGUUUAAUCAUUUCCAAUGAAAGGUUCCACAGAUACCAAGCGAAGAUCCGCCUUAGGCAUCUAGUACGUCAAAACUCAAAGGAGCAGAAUGUUACAUUGCUCUUGCAUACAAAACCAAGCUGUUAUGAGACUCGAUAGAGGUCACAAACGAUGUUUUUAAUGGUUUGUCCUUCGGAUUGAUCAUACACAAUCCGGAAAAGCCGCGAAUUGAUCAAACACAAUUCGGAAAAAGGCCUUAGAUUGAUUAAACACAAUCCGGUGAAAGGUUGGGGUUGAUCAAACACAACCCGGACAAAGAAACAAGAGUAUCAAACACACUCUUGACCCGCGAAUAAAAUUCCGGGAUUUGGGUACCUGCACGCACAAAAUCCCAAGCAUAGAAUGGAGAUGGAGAAGGGAGGAAAAGAUUUUAUCCUCCCCGAGUUAUUGAACUUGGAAAAGUUUAAGGUUUCAAAAAACAUACCUUGCUAGAGGGUUCCGAGAGGAGAAAUAACAUUUUGCCUACUUAUACUUCGAAUUUGGGGCUGAAAAUUUGAUAGGAGGAGCAGCUCUGGAUGGGGAAGCUGCUGUCAAAAUUUCAGGUUAAUCGGAGCAAGGGAAGGUGGUGAACCGGUGGUCGGUAGCGGCGGCGGUCUGGAAUCUUCCGGCGGCCGGUUCGGAGACUUUCCGGCCGGUUCUCAGGGUGAGACUGGCGGCGUUGGAUCCGGAGCGGAGAGAGCUUUCUGGGGAUAUAAAAUUCCGGCGGAGGGCAGUCGGAAUUUUGGUCGGAAAUCGGGAAAAACAAGGCUGCCCGAUUUUAGGGUUUUGGUUUUUAGGGUUUAGAAAAAAAAUGGUCGGCUAUUGGCUCUAGGGUUAGAACAGAGUGCAUGAUAACGUGAUGAAUGAUUAAUGGUAGAGACAAAGAGAUAGCAAGAGAAUCAUCAUCUUAUUCAUUGAUAGGAGCCCUUUAUAUAGGGAAUUACACAAUACCAAUAUGGUAAAGAUAUGAAUACAUAGAUCUAGUCUAACUACAUAUCCUAUUGGCAUAAGGCCAAGGCACACAUAGAGAAUAUCCUAGAACAAUAUAAAGUUAGGGGAAAAUUUUGAUUUUUUAUAUUUCUAUUAAUUAGAUAUUUAGAAGAAGAAAGCUAAAAUAGUUUUCUUUU
rnacentral:lncRNA from 1 species